rnacentral:pre_miRNA from 1 species
CAAUUACUCCCUCCGUUCCGAAUUACUUGUCACAGAAAUGGAUGUAUCUAGAACUAAAAAAUGUCUAGAUACAUUCAUUUUUACGACAAGUAAUUCCAAACGGAGGGAGUAUAAC